UCCAGGGCAAACUUUUAACUAAUGUUUCCUAAAGUAGAAGGCAACAGCAACCGCGUUGUGAUUUUGGAAACAAAGCCUAAUUCCGAAGUGCUCCUUCUUCCCUCUGGAUCCGGCUUUUACUUGGCUACUUGAUCAGCUCAGCUGUACUUAGGAGGAAACGCUUUCUGAUAAAUUUGUACAGGGCUACUCUGCCCCCCCACCCUUCCCCCGCCACCCCCAGACAUUCAAAGGGGACUAAGUAGAAAGGCCUCAUUUUUAAAACAAAACAAGACAAAAAAAUCAGAUCGGACAUAAUUGCUUGGGAUAUACCUUAGUUUGUUCUCUUUCUAUCUUUUAAAGAUUGAUUUAACAUUUCCACAGGCUGCAACGUCCCCAGCAAGCUCCCUUGUUCUUUACAGCAAACAAAAGUUUGGAAGUCUUUAAAAACAAAAAUUCUCCGAGAUGCUGUGACGUCUCUAGCUGCAAAGAUUAGGCUCGUGCAAGCUAGGCGGUUCCCUGAAAUGGUCUAAGGAAGUGAAAACUGAGUUUUAGAAGAGGAAGAACGGCAACCCCUUUGAACGCGGGCGUUAGAGAAAAACCCGCUCUCCUCCCUCGCAGCUAUCAGCCGCUCGCCAAACUUAAGGGAGAGGAAAGGAGCCGGAACGCCGGUCUUUCCACGAAACUCCGGCUGGCAUUGCUGACUUUGCUGACCUAAAGGAGCCGCCCUUCUUGCAAAGCCCAGCAUGCAUGCUCCUCUAGUCCCAGGGUCCUUGCCUUCCACCACUCAGACUGAUCUUCCAGUCCCAUUGAAGAAAUUUUAUCAGGGUGAACCUCUGGCCCUGGGGAUCACACAGAUAUUCAUAGGAAUCAUAGGAAUGAUUUUUGGGAUCCUGCUUGAUAUAAUGAAUGAUUAUUUCAUCAUCUAUAGUGUUAUAAAGAUCGCUUAUUGGAGUGGCAUCUUGUACAUCAUCUCUGGAUCCUUAGCUGUGGCAGCUGCUCGGAAUCCCAAGAUCCCUCUGGUGCAAGGUGCGCUGGCCAUGAAUGUGAUAAGUGCUGUAUCAGCUGGUAUUGGCAUCAUAUUCUUGUCUUUCAGUAUCACCACCCGUUUUUCAUAUCAUUUCAUGUUCCUUUGCCGUGAAUUUGAACACAGUUAUCAGGAAAAGUGUUAUGAAAGUCUUGCAAAACAGAGCCUGCAUAUCUAAUCCAGGUCAUCUUCCUUACUCUAGAACUGGAGAUACAUAUGCCUAUCUCUAUUUAUAAAAAUAGAUAUGUUUCUCUUCUACUUCAUCGAUAGCAUAUCAUUCAAGGAAUUUUGGCUGUUCUUCUUAUAUUCACCAUCCUGGAGUUUUGCAUCACCAUCUCUGUUGCAUCAUUUGGCUGUAAAAUGCUUUGCCGAAAUGCCCUCACUGAAACGGUUGUCGUCAUUUAUGAGAAUGUGACUCCUGCCAGUGUUGAACAUCCAUCCAUCGACUGCAAACAGCCAGAGUUCCCUUGAGUUGCUUUUCCUUCUUGGCAGCUAUUCUGGAAUACAUUGGCUCCUGCAAAAUUGAAGACUUGAACUUUUGAAGGAUUUGCAUGGAACUUUUACUCAGCGGAACCUAAAAUAUUUAGUGGGCUAAGCCAAACACCAUGUGUAAAAGAUCUUGAGAAUGUGAAUGUUCUUGAUUGCUGGUUAAGACAUGUCUCUGUGAACUGGUUGGCACUUUGUACCAACCUUGUUAUGUUUUGCUGUUGGAAAAUGCACAAUUGGUCGAGUUUAUACAACACAUUAUGGAUAAGCUAUAGUUUCUACUUUACAAUGGCUGUGUCACAGAUUAGACAAAAUCCAAAGCUUACUUCAACAGAACUUAGGAAAAUAUUUUGUUGCACUCAGCUACACUCAUACAACCAAUUAUGCUAGUUGUGUGAAAUCAUCUAAUGCUUGCAACACACUCCAGAAUUUGAUUUGUGGGAUGUAACAAUGACCCUGGGAAGCCUUCAUAUAAAAGUCUCAGCAGCCGUAUAUUCCAAUGAAAACUAAAGAGUCAAAUUUAUAGCCAUAAUUUAAAAUUUUAACCUGUUUGUUCAGUGGUUAAGAUACCAGGAGACUGUGAGUUCUAGUCCCACCUUAUAAAGAAAAGCCAGCUGGGCGACUCUGGGCCAUUCUCUCUCUCAGCCCAACUAAUUUCAUAGGGUUGUUGUGGGGAAAGCUGGAAGAGGAAGGAAUAUUAGCUAUGUUUGCUGCCUUAAAUCAUUUAUAAAAAUAAUGAAGACAGGAUAUAAAUGUAUACAGAAGACAAACCGUGUUUCCUUGCCACUCGACCUUCCAUCAAGGCUGCCUUCUGCCCAUCCAGCUUAUCUCACUAUUUUAUUUUAGGCAAGACUGUACUCCAGACUAAUAAUAAUAAACUGCUGAGCACUUAU